GGCUAACGCUGGCGGCGUGUCUUAGCCAUGCAAGUCGAGCGGACUUAUGGGGUAACUUAUAAGUCAGCGGCGGAUGGCGGAGUAACACGUAGCUAACUACCCUCUGGACGGGGAUAACCUACCGAAAGGUGGGCUAAUACCCGAUGUAGUCAUCCUGUAUAGGGGGUGAUGAAAGGUGGGCUUCUGUUUACAAGCUCAUGCUGGAGGAGGGGGCUGCGGCCUAUCAGGUAGUUGGUAGGGUAAUAGCCUACCAAGCCGAUGACGGGUAGCCGGCCUGAGAGGGUGACCGGCCCGAGGGGCACUGAGAUACGGGUCCCACUCCUACGGGAGGCAGCAGGCUAGAAAUUUGGGCAAUGGGGGAAACCCUGACCCAGUGACGCCGCGUGCAGGAAGGAGCCCUUCGGGGUGUAAACUCCUUUUCUCAGGGAAAAAGGAUGAUGGUACCUGAGGAAUAAGCCCCGGCUAACUACGUG
rnacentral:rRNA from 1 species